GUCCGGGACUCUUUACUGGGGUUAACCUAGGCCACAGAAAACAUCUGGGACCCCCUUUUAGGUCCAUUAAACCAUGCAAAGAGAGAAAAAAAGAAGAAAAAAAUAAAGAGAGAGAUAAAAGAGAAAAAGAGAGAGGAGAGAGAGAGAGAGAGAAAGAAAAGAGGGUUCUCUUCUUCUUUCCCAAAAUAGGAGAGAGCCUGUCUCUCCCUUUCCUCUUCGGAUCAGAGGGGUGGCAACCCAAGGUGGACGGCUCCAGUGGCGAUGACCCAGUGCAAUCCCUCCACC
rnacentral:lncRNA from 1 species